CAGUUGGGGAUCUUUCUCAAUGGGGGGAAGCCUGAUGCAGCGACCCCGCGUGGAGGAUGAAGGGUUUAGGCUGGUAAACUCCUUUUUCUGGGAAAGACUUAGGACGGUACCCUGCGAAUAAGCACCGCCUAACUACGUGCCAGCAGCCGCGGUAAGACGUAGGAUGCAAGCGUUGUCCGUAUUUACUGGGCGUAAAGAACUGGUAGGCGGUCUGUUAAGUAAGAAGUGAAAUAACCAGCGCUCAACGCGGGAAAUGCUUUUCAUACUGGCAGACUUGAGGGAUGCAGAGGUUAGUGGAAUUCCUGGUGUACCGGUGACAUGGGUUGAUAUCUGGAGGAAUACCAAUGGCGAAGGCAGCUAACUGGGCAUUAUCUGACGCUGAGGCGCGAAAGCGUGGGUAGCAAACAGGAUUAGAUACCCUGGUAGUCCACGCCCUAAACGAUGGAUACUAGGCGUAAGAGGUAUCGACCCCUUCUGUGCCGCAGCUAACGCAUUAAGU
rnacentral:rRNA from 1 species